rnacentral:rRNA from 1 species
GUGAGUAUAAUGUGGGAAUCUACCUUUUGGUUCGGAAUAACACGAGGAAACUUGUGCUAAUACCGGAUAAGCCUUCACAGGGAAAGUUUUAACGCCAAAAGAUGAGCCCGCACUUGAUUAGCUAGUUGGUAAGGUAAUUGCUUACCAAGGCAACGAUCAAUAGCUGUUCUUAGAGGAAGACCAGCCACAUUGGGACUGAGACACGGCCCAAACUCCUACGGGAGGCAGCAGUGGGGAAUCUUGCACAAUGGGGGAAACCCUGAUGCAGCGAUGCCGCGUGAGUGAAGAAGGCCUUUGGGUUGUAAAACUCUUUCGUCGGGGAAGAAAAUGACUGUACCCGAAUAAGAAGGUCCGGCUAACUUCGUGCCAGCAGCCGCGGUAAUACGAAGGGACCUAGCGUAGUUCGGAAUUACUGGGCUUAAAGAGCUCGUAGGUGGUUAAAAAAGUUGAUGGUGAAAUCCCAAGGCUCAACCUUGGAACUGCCAUCAAAACUUUUUAGCUAGAGUAUGAUAGAGGAAAGUGGAAUUUCUAGUGUAGAGGUGAAAUUCGUAGAUAUUAGAAAGAACACCAAAUGCGAAGGCAACUUUCUGGAUCAUUACUGACACUGAGGAGCGAAAGCAUGGGUAGCGAAGAGGAUUAGAUACCCUCGUAGUCCAUGCCGUAAACGAUGUGUGCUAGACGUUGGAAACAUAGUUUUCAGG